rnacentral:rRNA from 1 species
UACGUAGGGUGCGAGCGUUAAUCGGAAUUACUGGGCGUAAAGCGUGCGCAGGCGGUCUGUUAAGACCGAUGUGAAAUCCCCGGGCUUAACCUGGGAACUGCAUUGGUGACUGGCAGGCUUUGAGUGUGGCAGAGGGAGGUAGAAUUCCACGUGUAGCAGUGAAAUGCGUAGAUAUCUGGAGAACACCGGUGGCGAAGGCGGCAUCCUGGACCGAGAUUGACGCUGAUGCGCGAAAGCCAGGGGAGCAAACGGG